GCACUGGUGGUUCAGUGAUAGAAUUCUCGCAUGCCACGCGGGAGGCCCGGGUUCGAUUCCCGGCCAGUGCA
rnacentral:tRNA from 2 species